AUUGAACGCUGGCGGCAGGCCUAACACAUGCAAGUCGAACGGUAGCACAGAGAGCUUGCUCUCGGGUGACGAGUGGCGGACGGGUGAGUAAUGUCUGAGAAACUGCCCGAUGGAGGGGGAUAACUACUGGAAACGGUAGCUAAUACCGCAUAACGUCGCGAGACCAAAGUGGGGGACCUUCGAGCCCCACACCAUCGGAUGUGCCCAGAUGGGAUUAGCUAGUAGGUGGGGUAAUGGCUCACCUAGGCGACGAUCCCUAGCUGGUCUGAGAGGAUGACCAGCCACACUGGAACUGAGACACGGUCCAGACUCCUACGGGAGGCAGCAGUGGGGAAUAUUGCACAAUGGGCGCAAGCCUGAUGCAGCCAUGCCGCGUGUAUGAAGAAGGCCUUCGGGUUGUAAAGUACUUUCAGCGGGGAGGAAGGCGGUGAGGUUAAUAACCUUGCCGAUUGACGUUACCCGCAGAAGAAGCACCGGCUAACUCCGUGCCAGCCGCCGCCGUAA
rnacentral:rRNA from 1 species